UACGAAGGGGGCUAGCGUUGCUCGGAAUGACUGGGCGUAAAGAGCUCGUAGGCGGUUUGUCGCGUCGGCCGUGAAAUCUCCACGCUUAACGUGGAGCGUGCGGUCGAUACGGGCAGACUUGAGUUCGGUAGGGGAGACUGGAAUUCCUGGUGUAGCGGUGAAAUGCGCAGAUAUCGGGAGGAACACCGGUGGCGAAGGCGGUUCUCUGGGCCUGUACUGACGCUGAGGAGCGAAAGCGUGGGGAGCGAACAGG
rnacentral:rRNA from 1 species